UACGUAGGGUGCAAGCGUUGUCCGGAAUUAUUGGGCGUAAAGAGCUCGUAGGCGGUUUGUCGCGUCUGCUGUGAAAACUCGGGGCUUAACCCCGGGCCUGCAGUGGGUACGGGCAGACUAGAGUGCGGUAGGGGAGACUGGAAUUCCUGGUGUAGCGGUGGAAUGCGCAGAUAUCAGGAGGAACACCGGUGGCGAAGGCGGGUCUCUGGGCCGAUACUGACGCUGAGGAGCGAAAGCGUGGGGAGCGAACAGG
rnacentral:rRNA from 1 species